CUUCGCAUAUGGCGACAAGAUAAAGUACUGUGAGCACACGACAACCGACCAAAUUAAACUGACGAUGCGAUCGAAGAACCAUCCCGUGGCGCGAGAAAAAUAUUUUUCCGAGACUCGCAAUACAAUUUAUUCGAAUUUCGCUGUCGUGUUGUCUAGUUUGUUUCUUUUUUUUUCGCGUUAUAAUUAACGGAUCGUAAAGUGCAGCAAACGUCACGGGACAACAUAGCACCAAACACGCUUAACCGUCAUCAAUUCGCCAACACGGGAGAAAAAGAUGCCGCUGAGUUCACAAAACAGCGUGGGACGGCCGCUCCAGUAGAGAGGCCGCGUAGAGAGAUGUAUGAGCUCGCGGUGAGUAACAAAUGUGGCGUCCUCGAGGCGCCGCUUCAACUUUAUCGAACCAGGGACGGCGUCAUCUCUCCUAGGCUUUGCACAGCUUGAGGUGUAUGCCGGGAAGAGCAUUCGAAUGCGAGGCGGUUGGUGCGGUUGUUGAAGUCGCGUUUGUGCAGUGCUGCUCUUUGUUUCAUCGAUUUAUCCAGGUUUUACACUCCGCGCUUUGUUGACGUGCGUGGUCUAAUCGUGUUGUGUACGUGAGUGGCGUGUAACUAGUGAUACAGCACGCAAGGACAGUCAUUAACGUGCGCGAUCCGCCGCAAAUCAGCCACGAGGCAUUGCAACGGGCACGUUCAGUGGGCUGCGCGGCCGUUGCGACGAGCUGCAUUGCUGAUUCUUCGCUUGAGACUGGCAAUUGUCGAGCGGGUUGCAUCCGUUGUUACGUUGCCCGAAGACAGUAGUAAAUGUGAUUUGCAGGGUGCAAGCAACGUGUCAUUGUGGUUAGAAAAAAUGAAUCAGUAUACAUGUGAUUUAACUGUCAAAGCCGGAAUGUUUAAAGCAUACAUCCCGCCCAAGGCAUGCUGGGAUGAUCUCCUAUCAGGCAGCUUGGAAACUUCCAGACGCCGAUAUGCCUUACGUUCGGUGCAGCCGAGGUUAUGAACUGUCAAGUGGAAUAUGCCCCUUGAGGAAAACAAUUAGGAUCGACUGUCCAGCGAGGAGAUUGCGGAAUCAGCAACUGACAUAUUGACUGAUGAAACAUGAUGGUGCGUGCAGCAAGAGAGGGUUUGACUGCAGAUCCUGACCACCUGCUCCUGUAAAUUUGUACCAACCACAGGCGAAAACAAGAAGAAACGCUUUGAAUACCUGCGGUCUUCUAUCAGCGAGACAAGUCCCUGAAGCUAUAAAUCAAUAAACUUUGAUGUAUUCUGCUUUGGAGGUAUAAAGCAAUGAAAUAUGAAUUCUUUUCGAAUGGUGCAUGUUUUUUUUUCUUCAGAAAAUUUCUUGUGAGCACGCACAACCCGAGCAACAAAAGUAAAGGACUGACAAUCACCCUCUUUUUGGCUGCCCUCUGGGUUUCAGCUGUCCUGCAGUACCAGCAUUUAUGGGGGCUCCACUCAGUAUAACAGCUCUACCCGUGGCCCACCCACCCAGAUGUCGCCUAACAAAGGGUAUGUGCCUCUUUUUUCUUUCGAUCUUCUUUCUGCGACACAU